UUACGGUUAUAUCACGUUGAAACACAGGCUCCCAUUCAAUCACCGAAGUUAAGCAAAGUCGAGCCUCGUCAGUACUUUAAUGGGUGACCGCUUGGGAAUACAAUGUG